GCCCCUCACCAUCUGAAUGAGCAUGGGGAGGGAAGGAGCCAGUACAGGCUUCAAGCCGGCAAGGUAGAAGCUGCCGGUAACCCCCGCGACAGACAGACAGAAUCUUCUUUCUGGCAAGAGAAGGAUCUUCAUAUUGCUCACCAAGGUGAAAUCAUGGACCUGAAUGCAAAGGAACAGUCUACUUCCCCACAAAGGCAGGGAGUAAAAGCUCGGUCCAAAUCUACAGAGGAGAUCCAGCCUGCCAAGAAGGCCUUCCAUACUCCCCAGAAGUCCUUACCGAACCAAAUGGAUGCAGAUGAGUCCAAGGGUUCCUGUCCUGUACCAUCACCAAAUACUGCUCAACAGCAGCAGACUUGAGGAGCAGGUCAUGGUUAUGAGGAGUGGAGGUGUGACCAUUCCUUGUGCUACUCAGACUUUGGGCCCUUGUGGAUGUCACUGUGGUACUGUUUGUCAAGCUGUUGCUAUCUGUCUGUCCCCUGUGUGAAAUGAGAUCUGGGUAAAUAAAGUAAAUUGGAAUCUG